CUCUGGCCAACGGCAACAGAUCGGCCAUUCACGGCUCCUGCCCAAUAGAGCGCAGCAGAAAAACAUGGCGCUCGCCGCCGCUCCCCUCCGCCGGUUCCAGACCACUCCUCCACGACCACAGCCGUUUUCGGCUCCUCAGAGACACGCCCGCCUCCGCCCGCGGCACCUACAGCGGAGCCCUCCUCCAAUCCUCACCGCCGCGGCCGUUGCCCCGCUCACCGCAGCGGACACGGAGGAGCGGAAGCACGAGCUACUGCGCGCGGUGCAGGAGACGGGGCGCGGCUCCGCGGCCGGCCCCGACCAGCGCGCGGCCAUCGAGGAGGCCAUCGUGUGCAUGGAAGAGCUCGGCGCCGGGGAGGGGACGCCGCUGGACCUCGCGGCGCUCGACGGGACCUGGAGGCUGUGCUACACGUCGGCGUCGGACGUGCUCGUGCUGUUCGAGGCGGCCGACAGGCUCCCUCUCCUGCAGAUUGGGCAAAUAUACCAGAAAUUCGAAUGCAAGGAUAGGUCGGAUGGUGGAGUUGUGCGGAAUGUUGUGCGGUGGAGCAUUGAGAACUUGCUGGAGGAGCAAGAAGGUGCAACAUUGAUGGUUUCUGCAAAAUUUGAUGUUCUGUCUAAGCGCAACAUAUUUCUUCAGUUCGAGGAGGUUGCUGUAGAAAACAUCAAGAUUAGCGAGCAGCUACAAGCACUAAUAGCUCCUGCUAUACUUCCUCGGUCAUUUUUUAGUCUUCAGAUAUUGCAGUUCCUUAAAACUUUUCGAGCUCAAGUUCCUGUCAACGGCCCUGAAAGACGAUCACCUGGAGGAUUAUACUAUCUUUCUUACCUUGACCGUGAUAUGCUCCUGGGGCGAUCAGUUGGUGGUGGUGGGGUUUUUGUUUUCACAAGAGCCCAGCCUCUUUUAUGAAGAGCACAACAUAUGAUGACAUGCCGGUUAUAGUUGGGCUUACCUAUAUACAAGUGCAGACAAGGACGUUUCCCUCCUUCCAGGUUCGCGUCUGAAUGCACUACUCCUGAUUAAAGAUGAAGUCACCCUGUUUUGAAACAGGGUCGGGUCAGCUAGCUUGUACUCCUACACUUCCACCGUUCAUGGUAUCCUCUGGAACUCCGUGAAAAUGUCCUGUUUUCUGGUGAGCUCGACUAUUUGUCCAUUUCACACCCAACCAGUUACCUAUAAGCUUGCUAAUUUCCAGGAUGCAAAGGUCCGUGAUCAGGAGGGGGAGAUAUGCCUCUCCGUUUUCUUUUAUAUUCCAACAACAUUAAAUCAGUCAACUCUGUUCUGGAUGAUCGAUGUUGCUCAAUCUCGGCCGUUUCCUUAUUUUCAUUUGUUGUUUGAUUUA